AAAAAUAUAUGUGUUGUGUCAAUGUUUAAACUUGAAUUCUGGAACAAAACGAGCAAUUAGUUUUCACCACUCUAUGAUAUAAUCUGCAAUUUAUAAUAAAAGCAACGUAUAUGAAUUUAAAUAAGUUUUAGUUACAGGACAACUUUUGCAAAAACAAAAUUGAGAUUCCAACCCAUACACCACAAGUAAUAGAAAUGAAA
rnacentral:lncRNA from 1 species